rnacentral:rRNA from 1 species
AGGACGAACGCUGGCGGCGUGCCUAACACAUGCAAGUAGAGCGGAGAUAAUAGCAAUAUUAUCUUAGCGGCGGACGGGUGAGUAACGCGUGGGUAACCUGCCUUAAACUGGGGGAUAACACAGGGAAACUUGUGCUAAUACCGCAUAACAUCGCGAAAUGGCAUCAUUUUGUGAUCAAAGGAGUAAUCCGGUAUAAGAUGGACCCGCGUCCAAUUAGCUAGUUGGUGAGGUAAAGGCCCACCAAGGCGACGAUUGGUAGCCGAACUGAGAGGUUGAUCGGCCACAUUGGGACUGAGACACGGCCCAGACUCCUACGGGAGGCAGCAGUGGGGAAUAUUGCGCAAUGGGGGAAACCCUGACGCAGCAACGCCGCGUGAAGGAUGAAGGUUUUCGGAUUGUAAACUUCUUUGAUUGGGGACGAAAGAAAUGACGGUACCCAAAAAACAAGCCACGGCUAACUACGUGCCAGCAGCCGCGGUAAUACGUAGGUGGCGAGCGUUGUCCGGAUUUACUGGGUGUAAAGGGCGUGUAGGCGGGAAAGUAAGUCAGACGUGAAAUCCCUCGGCUUAACCGGGGAACUGCGUCUGAUACUGGAUGGCUUGAGAUUGGGAGAGGGAUGCGGAAUUCCAGGUGUAGCGGUGAAAUGCGUAGAUAUCUGGAGGAACACCGGUGGCGAAGGCGGCAUCCUGGACCAACACUGACGCUGAGUGAGCGAAAGCCAGGGGAGCAAACGGGAUUAGAUACCCCGGUAGUCCUGGCCCUAAACGAUGAAUGCUUGGUGCGACGGGUAUCGAUCCCUGUCGUGCCGAAGCUAACGCGAUAAGCAUUCCGCCUGGGGAGUACAGUCGCAAGGCUGAA